rnacentral:sRNA from 1 species
CUUCAAGGAAUGGAGCAAACGGCGGAGCAGGGAUACUUUGGCCGGUUUCAUCUACUCCGCCUCUAAGUCCAAAUCAACAGGAUGUCGGUUUCUUUGAGGCUUUAGCACGAAUUUCUCGUCCUCCUUGUUAAAUUUUUGUUAAAUUCACAAUAUUAUAUACCAUUGGCCCGGGCGCUGUUCUUCCCAUUUCUGAAUUUAUGAAAAGUAAGUUGGCACCAACUACCUUUUUCCCAAUUCGCAUAUCAAACAGAAAAAAAACGCACCUGCCCUUUGGCCUGUGCAUUUUUAU